GGGGCUGACAUGGCUUCGACAGCGUGAUGGAAAUUCCAAAGGCAGGCCGAGGGGCGGACACCUCGUUAAUCAUUCGCAAACUGAUAGUUGCCAACGACGACAACUACGCACUCGCUGCUUAAACACCAGUAGGGUGCCGUCUGACUGGAGCCGUGCUUGUGCGUCCAGCGCCCUUAGGGGCAUUUCAGGCGUCGAUGCUCACAAGAUCGCGAAGCGGCAGGUUCGGGGCCAAUUCGCUAAAACCUAACCGAAAUCGCCGCUUCACCGGCCCUGUCCCUCGGGUGGUGAGUGGUUAAAACUCAAUAGAGCGGACUAAGCCUGUAGAAUUUGGAGUGGAAGCGCGUUGGACGCGGGUUCGACUCCCGCCAGCUCCACCA
rnacentral:tmRNA from 1 species